UGCGAUCAUACCAGCACUAAUGCAGCGGAUCCCAUCAUAACUCCGCAGUUAAGCGAUCUUGGGCGAGAGUAGUACUAGGAUGGGUGACCCCUUGGGAAGUCCUCGUGUUGCA
rnacentral:rRNA from 1 species